GUCUAUAGAUACUGAUACUGCCUCUUGCGGGUAUACGUAUAUGAGAACUAUAUGCGUAUAGAAACACGCUUCCUCUUGCUCAUAAAUUUGCGUAUAGAAAAUUGGAAUGUAUCUAAAUCAAUGCUGUCCGAGUGACGCCCGACGUUGUUUACAAGUCCGGAUUUCUGUUCGCACGGAGUUUGCGGAGAUUUCAAGCAGAUUUCUGACUAAAAUGCUCAACUGUAUUAGUGCUAAACAUGGUCAUGACUCCUGGAAUUAUUUUGGAUUUACUGAGUAUGUCACAAUUUUCA